UUUUUAUGAAUAAACUUUUAGAUUCUAAUGGCUUGGCAACAGCGUGAUUUGUGGAGGCCCUGGACCAGGAGAAACCUGACCUGGAGGAAGGACAGGGGCUGCCAGGGCUGCCCACUGCCGAGUACCUGGAGGAGCUGGAGGAACCUGAGGCGGAGGGGGAGCUGGAGCUGCCAGCAGCAGAAUACCCAGACGAGCUGGAAUGACCGGAGGGACUCGCACAAGGGACUGAGUUGGAAGGAGCCCAGGGACAGAACUGCACAGUGUGCCAAUUUCGAUCUCUGCUGGCAGGGCACUGUGCGGCACACGUUGCAGGCCACCUGGGUGCAGGAGAUCGAGUAGGGUGAAGGGAGGAGCAACCCUGAGCAUCUGCCAUCCAGCUCCAUCCGAUCUAGAGCAAGUAAGUAGAGUUCUCCAGAGCCAUCCCCAGUGUGGUGUGAAUAUCCCACCACUAGGGCUCCCAGCCCGUCCCUUGUCAGGGUUUGUUCCUCAGGUUGAGGGUUCCUAUGCCCUGGGGUGGGAUGUGUCGGGAGGAGAAAUUGCUUCAGCAGAGGGGAGGUGGGCAGGGGAGCAGGCAGGCUCGUUAAUGAGAAGCCAGACUCAUGGCUGCUCCCCACUCAGCUCCAGGAUGGAGCGAAUAAGGCGGAUGCUCAGGAGGAAGGCCGGGCAGGUGGCUCCAGAGCCAGCAGGAAACAUCAGCCAGCCUUCCCAGGAGGAGAGCAACCCCUCUGUCCCCGCGGGCGGGGAAGAGGCUUGUGGCCAGGGGAAGGAGAGGAGCUGCGUCGCAUGCUGGAGGAGGAGGAAGACACCAGCUCCCUUAGCUGACCCUGAGGCACCUUCUGGGCCGAAAUGGAGGUGGCCCCGGGUUCAGCUAUGGAGGAGAGAGCCAGGAGAGGGCAGGAGCCAGGGAAGGCAGCUCUGGGGCUUCCUUGGCAGGACGCCAAGAUGCCAGAAGCUGCACCCCAGGGCCCAGCAGGAGCCGUCCACCACCAUGGCAACUGAGGAGCCUCCCGCCAGCCCGACCCUGGUCCCCGAGGAGCCUCCCGCCAGCCCCACCCUGGCCCCUGAGGAGCCUCCCG